GAAGAGGACAGCACCUCUCUAGGUGGGGUGGAGGAGAAGUGUACGAUUUAGAAAAGUGGGGAUUUCUUUAGAAGCACGGAUGAGAAACUCGGCCAUUACGCACAAAGCUUUUCUCCCAUUUGCUCCUUAACCUGAAAUACACGUAAAGACGAAACUCGGUCGCUUUUCGUUUUCAAAAUGGACUAUACUGCUGAGAAAAAAAUCACUGACGAGUGGAAAGGACUUGGUUAGUUGCAGGGAAACGAACGGGGAAGCUUUGAGGAUCGUUAAGACCUCGUGAACGACGGAUAUUCUCACGCCUUUACGCUACAGACUAUAAAGAAACGUCUGUGCCAUGACGUCUGGAGGAGCGGCGCGUAUUCCGUCUGUUCUGAGACAACGACGGACAUCUGGAAAGCACGCAGGCCGAUCCUGCUACCAACAAUAUUUAUAACGCAACUGUCGUAGAAGUAUUUCCAUUGACUGGCGGAGAGAUGCAAAUGUACACCCGAACUCGAGAUAAAACACUACCAAAUGAACAUCGGCUUUGUAUUUCACUGUGUAAAACAUGGUAGAACGUAAUUGUCUUCACCCUGCGUGAGGUU
ensembl:lncRNA